UACCAGCACCCCGAGUGGUCGGGACGUUUAUUGGGCCUAAAGCAUCCGUAGCCGGUUCUACAAGUCUUCCGUUAAAUCCACCUGCUUAACAGAUGGGCUGCGGAAGAUACUAUAGAGCUAGGAGGCGGGAGAGGCAAGCGGUACUCGAUGGGUAGGGGUAAAAUCCGUUGAUCCAUUGAAGACCACCAGUGGCGAAGGCGGCUGUCUGGUCCGGUUCUGACGCUGAGGCGCGAAAGCGUGGGGAGCAAACAGG
rnacentral:rRNA from 1 species